UACUAAUAAACAGACCUUGAGACUUAAUUCCUCAAGACAGGUAAUAAAUGGUACACUCCCAGAAUAAGAUAUGGAAACGAAGCCAUUUGGGGGACAAUAUCUGAAAUAUCAGCUAUUUUCUCAAAGCCAAGCAAAGAAAAGAGAAAGGGAAUUAUAGUUGGAUCAGUUAUACGAUCCUAGAGAAGGAGCCUGUUAUCAACUGUACAGGAGCACAGCCAAAUAAGCCUUGUCACUGUGCUUUGGGCUUGAAUGGUUGAGAGGUACCCCGCCAAUACACAGCCCACAUGUGAUA
rnacentral:lncRNA from 1 species